rnacentral:lncRNA from 1 species
CAGNACCUGUAACAUUUCAGCCCAUGGAGGCGCAACCCCAAAAGACUGCCACUGUCAUUCAGGAUGCUUCCUGAAAGCAGGGACAGAAGCCAGAAGCUGACCUGGCGAGGAGUUCAGCUGCUGUGUGAGUGAUGGGGGAAGGGCAGGAUACUCAGAGCAUCACAGACAGCUCCUUGUGGGAAGCAGCCAUGAAGACUACAGAAAAUAUGACCACAGAGGCACACACACAUAAUCCUAGCACUCAGGGGGCUGAAGAAGGAAGAUCAAAGUCUGAGGCCAGCCUAAUGAGAUCUUGUCUGAAAAACAAACAAUGAACAAAGCUAGGUGGUGGCACAUGCUGUAAUCCCAGCAUGCGGAGGCAGAGGAAAGAAGACCAAGGCUUAAUGGUCAAAGUCAGCCUCACUGCAGAACAAGUGUGAAGC